AGUCGAGCGGACCGACGGGAGCUUGCUCCCUUAGGUCAGCGGCGGACGGGUGAGUAACACGUGGGUAACCUGCCUGUAAGACUGGGAUAACUCCGGGAAACCGGGGCUAAUACCGGAUGCUUGAUUGAACCGCAUGGUUCAAUCAUAAAAGGUGGCUUUUAGCUACCACUUGCAGAUGGACCCGCGGCGCAUUAGCUAGUUGGUGAGGUAACGGCUCACCAAGGCGACGAUGCGUAGCCGACCUGAGAGGGUGAUCGGCCACACUGGGACUGAGACACGGCCCAGACUCCUACGGGAGGCAGCAGUAGGGAAUCUUCCGCAAUGGACGAAAGUCUGACGGAGCAACGCCGCGUGAGUGAUGAAGGUUUUCGGAUCGUAAAACUCUGUUGUUAGGGAAGAACAAGUACCGUUCGAAUAGGGCGGCACCUUGACGGUACCUAACCAGAAAGCCACGGCUAACUACGUGCCAGCAGCCGCGGUAAUACGUAGGUGGCAAGCGUUGUCCGGAAUUAUUGGGCGUAAAGCGCGCGCAGGCGGUUUCUUAAGUCUGAUGUGAAAGCCCCCGGCUCAACCGGGGAGGGUCAUUGGAAACUGGGGAACUUGAGUGCAGAAGAGGAGAGUGGAAUUCCACGUGUAGCGGUGAAAUGCGUAGAGAUGUGGAGGAACACCAGUGGCGAAGGCGACUCUCUGGUCUGUAACUGACGCUGAGGCGCGAAAGCGUGGGGAGCGAACAGGAUUAGAUACCCUGGUAGUCCACGCCGUAAACGAUGAGUGCUAAGUGUUAGAGGGUUUCCGCCCUUUAGUGCUGCAGCAAACGCAUUAAGCACUCCGCCUGGGGAGUACGGUCGCAAGACUGAAACUCAAAGGAAUUGACGGGGGCCCGCACAAGCGGUGGAGCAUGUGGUUUAAUUCGAAGCAACGCGAAGAACCUUACCAGGUCUUGACAUCCUCUGACAACCCUAGAGAUAGGGCUUCCCCUUCGGGGCAGAGUGACAGGUGGUGCAUGGUUGUCGUCAGCUCGUGUCCUGAGAUGUUGGGUUAAGUCCCGCAACGAGCGCAACCCUUGAUCUUAGUUGCCAGCAUUCAGUUGGGCACUCUAAGGUGACUGCCGGUGACAACCCGAAGAAAGGUGGGGAUGACGUCCAAUCAUCAUGCCCCUUAUGACCUGGGCUAACCACGUGCUACAAUGGGC
rnacentral:rRNA from 1 species